GAGGAUAUAGCUCAGUGGUAGAGUGUAUGCUUAGCAUGCACGAGGUCCUUGGUUCAAUCCCUAAUACCUCCA
rnacentral:tRNA from 1 species